rnacentral:rRNA from 1 species
AUGAAAGUAGAAGAAGUUAUCGAAACUCGGAACCACAUGUUCAAUCUUUUUUUAGCGGUUUCCCCAGAGAUCUUUAUCAUUAACGCAACCUUCAUUUUGCUCAUUCAUGGAGUUGUAUUUAGUACCUCUAAGAAAGAUGAUUAUCCACCGUUAGUUAGUAAUGUGGGUUGGCUUGGAUUACUUAGGAACCUUAGCAUGGGGGACGUUCUAAUCCUUUUGCCUCCGCAAGGCCGGCUAAUCGUACGCAGCAAGAGCAAGGGAACUCCCCUGGUUCAGGAAGGCACACGAGUCCGAACGCUAUUAUGA